GACGAACGCUGGCGGCAUGCUUAACACAUGCAAGUCGAACGGAAAGGCCCUGCUUUUGUGGGGUGCUCGAGUGGCGAACGGGUGAGUAACACGUGAGUAACCUGCCCUUGACUUUGGGAUAACUUCAGGAAACUGGGGCUAAUACCGGAUAGGAGCUCCUGCUGCAUGGUGGGGGUUGGAAAGGUUCGGCGGUUGGGGAUGGACUCGCGGCUUAUCAGCUUGUUGGUGGGGUAGUGGCUUACCAAGGCUUUGACGGGUAGCCGGCCUGAGAGGGUGACCGGCCACAUUGGGACUGAGAUACGGCCCAGACUCCUACGGGAGGCAGCAGUGGGGAAUAUUGCACAAUGGGCGGAAGCCUGAUGCAGCAACGCCGCGUGCGGGAUGACGGCCUUCGGGUUGUAAACCGCUUUCGCCUGUGACGAAGCGUGAGUGACGGUAAUGGGUAAAGAAGCACCGGCUAACUACGUG
rnacentral:rRNA from 1 species